rnacentral:rRNA from 1 species
UACGUAGGGUGCGAGCGUUGUUCGGAAUUACUGGGCGUAAAGGGCGCGUAGGCGGCCUUCUAAGUCGAACGUGAAAUCCCCGGGCUCAACCCGGGAACUGCGUCCGAUACUGGAAGGCUUGAAUCCGGGAGAGGGAUGCGGAAUUCCAGGUGUAGCGGUGAAAUGCGUAGAUAUCUGGAGGAACACCGGUGGCGAAGGCGGCAUCCUGGACCGGUAUUGACGCUGAGGCGCGAAAGCCAGGGGAGCAAAGCGGGAUUAAGAA